rnacentral:lncRNA from 1 species
AAGAGUCUUGUUUGAAGUUGUGUGGGGUUGAAUAAUUAUGUUUGCAAUAUUUCAGAAGUUGGUAGAAAAAGAAAAGAAAAAUAGAAAAAGAAAAUAUAAAAGAAAAAAAAAUGAAUGAAAAAAAAUAGAAGGAUGUAUACAUGUCAAUACAUACUCCUUAUGAAAAAGAAAAAAAGAAGAAAAAAAAAGAGAAAGGAGAAAAAAAUAUGAACGAAAAUAGUUAAUAUAUAGUUGUUGAAGUGAAUGAAAUAUUUUGUAAAUUCAACUCGCGCAGUUUCUUUCAAGUUUCUUUUUUCUCUUUC